AUGAGCUCAAGCCGGGACCCCCUACAUCAGCGGGAUCGAGCUCCAUCUACUUCGGACCACCGCCGGCGCUCGUCUUCGAUUCCGGCACCGUCGAGCCCUCCCCGAGCCCACUUAGCACCUCUACAGGCUCGCAACCCCGAGACCGACGCUGAUGCCCCUGAGUACGACUACGUCGACGAGCACCCCUCCUUCUUGCCAGAGCAACCAGAUGCCGGAGCCCAGGAGCCAGACGCCACCCUCGACGACGACUCCUACUACACUGGAGGUGCCUACUACUACGUCCAGGCCACUGACGACGACCAGGAGUAA
rnacentral:rRNA from 1 species